GUUUGCAUGUGUGUGUGUCUGUGUAUGUGUAUGUAUGUGUCUGUAUGUCUCUGUGUGUGUGUCUACACACGCAUAUGUAUGUGUCUAUGUGUCUCUGUGUGUGUGUCUGCAUGUGUGUGUAUGUGUGUCUGUGUGUGUGUCUGCAUGAGUGUGUGUGUCUAUGUGUCUGUAUGUGUGUGUGUCUGUAUGUGUGUGUCUAUGUGUGUCUAUGUGUGUCUGCAUGUGUGUGUCUGCUGUUUGCGUGUCUAUAUGUGUGUGUAUGUAUGUAUGAAUGUGUGUGUGUGUGCGUGUGUGUAUGUGUUUUGUGGAAGAGAAUCUGAAGGUCACAGGGAAAGUGAGGUGCUUGGACUUGGAGGUAACAUCGCUAUUGAUGAUAUAAGGGAUGAGUCUGUGAUAGGAUAGGGUGUUGAAGUGGGACUAGGACUACCCUCUAGGGUACUAGAGGAGUCAAGAAUGGAUAACAGGUAUGAGAGGGGGCUAAGACUAUGUGGGUGAGCCACGCUUGGAAGGGUAAAGGAAGAAUAGAAUCUGAUGUUCAUGAAGGAAGGAGGUUAGGACAAAACUCACACUGGCCAGGGAGUACUGGUAUAUAAGGGAGAAAAUGGCCUGAGGGGAGGCAAGGAAGCGAUGCCACCACUUUCAAAACAGGUUACAGGGAACAGCAUGCCCUAUAUUUGGUUUCUAUUAAGGGUAUGCUCGCCAGGUAUAGUGAUGUACUAUUAUGCAGCCCUUGGGAAAUGAAGACAAGAGGAUUAGCAAUUCAGUACCAGCCCUAGCUGUGGGAGAUCUGGUCUCCCUUCCCUCCAACAAAGACAAACAAAGAAAACAAACAAAUAAGAUAAUGUUUGGCCGUGUAGCUUUGUUGAGUCAUCCAGUUUGGUGGGCAUGGCAAAAUGACACAGACUGCGGGAAUUUGACUGCAGAACUUUGUUUCUUACAGCUUCAGAGCUUGGACGUUCAAGUUCUGCUCAGGGUGCUCCUGAUGUCAGGCCGAGGUCCUCUUGCAGUGUUCAAGUGACCUUUUAUGUGCAGCCGGAGGGGCAGAGAACUGGGGAUUUCUGAUCCCACUUUUUAUAAGAGUGCAGCAGCAGCAGCAGCAGCAGCAGCAGCAGCAGCAGCAGCAGCACAUCAGUAUCCGUGCAAAGUGUCUGACAAAAGUACUCGGGACGCUGGGAUGAAAAUGGACGCUAAUCUUUGCUUCUUUAUAGCAGCAUUUCCAUGUCACUGGCAGUGCAAAUUCGCCUGCUCCCAUUAUGCAUCUGGUAUCAUGACAAGCCCAAACCCAUAAGGACAGAAAAUAAACCUUAAUUCUGGAAA